rnacentral:lncRNA from 1 species
GCAGGUCUUCCGGCAUUAUGGCCUUCCGGAGGACAUCGUCUCCGAUGUGGCCCCCAAUUCACAUCACUGGUAUGGAGUGACUCAAUGGAGAAGCUCGGGGUCAUGAUCAGCCUCAUUUCUGGGUACAGGUCUCACUCUAAUGGGCAGGUGGAUAGGAUGAACCAGCUGCUGGGGAGGUUCCUGAGGAGCCACUGCCAGGACCGGCAGGGGGAGUGGGCCUGAUUCCUUCCCUGGGUGGAGUAUGCCCAGAAAUCAUUAUGUCACUCCUCCACCGGGCUGACUCCUGUCUUGUGUGUUCUGGAUUACCAGCCGGCCCUGGCUCCGUGUACCGAAGCUCCUGUGGUGGACGAGUAGUUCAGGCGCGCAGAAGAAGUUUGGAAAGGUGCCCCAUGAGGCUCCAGCGCGUCGUCCACUGUCAGAAGAAGCAGGCGGAUCGCCACAGCAGUGAGGCUCCCAUGUUCCAUCCUGGUGAUUGCAUCUGGCUCUCUUCACCAGGAACCUCCCACUACGCCUGCCCUGUAAGAAGCUGAGCCCCCAGUUUGUGGAGCCAUUCAAAUUUCUCCGGAGGGUCAACGAGCCCUUGAAUUGAGAGAAAGAGAGAGAGAGAGAGAGAGAGAGAGAGAGAGAGCGAAAACAUCCCAUUAGCAGCAGACAAGAGAAGAGGAGAGUUGGGAGGGGCUCUGGAAUAUGCUGACACAGCCUAAUGAAAGAACACACCAGGAGAUACAGUCAUAAGUUUCCACUCGUGUCUGGGAGGGUGUGCGUAUUGUGUGUUCUGAGGUGGUCGGGUUCAGUAUCAGGACAAGGAGCUGAAUUGGCAUGCCAGUUUUGAAAGGUCACAUGACCAUCAAGUCACAUUCCUAUUGGCUCCCUGGUAAUAGAAUCUCUGCUUUCUCAAGUUUUCCAGGGAGUUUUCCAAACAUGAACCGCAAAUCAGACUCAAACCUGAAUCCCCGCAUGCUCUAUCCCCAUGCCAAACGCAUUUUCCAGAAGAAAUUAGAAAUGGACAGAACUGCACUAUCGCUUUCUUCCUCUCUUAAAAAUAGAAAUGGAUACCAUGAGUUCCCACUGAUGUCUGUCUGCCUGUCUCUCUCUGAUGUGGGAGUAUGUAUGUAGCUCAUUCUCACCGUUUUUUGGAUUACCUGCUGAGAUCAGAGAACUGAAGGGUUACAAAGUCCUUCAAGUGCCAGCCCCACGGACACACGCACACACGCACACACGACUCCCACUUCGGAGCCUGUGCACUAUGGGAGGUCCGUAUUAUAUCACAAUCACCCACACACAUAAACAACCGGUGUUUGAACUGUGUGUGUGUGUGUGUGUGUGUGUGUGUGUGUGUGUGUGUGUAUCAGAGUGAUGAUAAUAAGGAAGCCCCACUGUGUGCACACUCUGGUGUAGGAGUCAAAUGAGAUCAGCCCAGAGGGAUGAAUGAGCAACCGUAGAAGAAAGUCUGUGUGCAUGAGUGUAUGUGUGCAUGAGUGUGUCGCCGUGUGUAUGUGUGUUGUGUAGCUUUGUCUCUCCCCAUGUGCACUCAGAACCUCUUGACUGAAGAAUUAGCUUGUUGGUUGCUCAAUGCAGGUUCACAUACUUGAGAAUGUGAUCUUACAUGGCCUCAUAAAAAGAAAAGAAAAAGCUCCAACAAGUGGAACCCAAGUUCCUUGUCCUUCAGUAGUAUAACCCACCCCGAUCCUCUGCAAGCUACUUCAGCAUAACAAGGACAACUUCUUACAGUAGGUCCCCUCCGAUCGAUGCUAUCGGCUGCUUAGGAGUUAAUCAAUGAGCUCCCUCUCUCUCUCGCUCUCCCUGGGGGAGUCAUUGAUCUGUGAAUGUGAUGAGGAGCAGACAGAGCAGAGUGGUUCUCUACAGGGAUAAAGAGGAUAUAUCUACUCCUUGUGGGAUCCUUAAUGAUCUAAGGAGAUAGAGAGACAGACUCAUGGAGAAUAGCAGGUUUGUUAAUCAGGGUGGUCUUACCCCACUGGAGAAAACUUACGCACGCACACAGAAGAAGAUGGCGCUGACAGAUAUGGCAGCUCUGCUUCUAGCUCCUAAGCAACUUAGCAUUAUUUUUAUUUGUUGUGUGUUAUUUCUUACAUUAUUAGGCCAGGAAUUUUUUUGUGUUAUUACGGUACUUACAGAAGGAAAUAACUUUUGGAUAUCAGAUUAACU